AUGAGCUUUAAUGCUAAAAUCGCCAAAGACAUAUAUACAUACUGUACAUGUGAUAAUUGCAAAUCAUUCAACGAAACAGACAGUGGAGGGAGGCUUCGGCAGACUACGUACAGCAGAGUAACUGACAGCAGUGAACUUUUUGGUGCUUCACCACACUCUAACAUUAAUGCCUUGGCAGUGGCAAUAAGCUUUAGUUUUGUGUUUGUUUUGAUAACAUUGUUUAAGUUGAGAAUUACACAAAGUAUUCAUUUUAUUUUACUGCUCCUAUAUAAAAAUGCUGAUGUUAUGGCACUUUAGUUCAUAUGGCAGUACAUUUAAAAUAACAGUGUCAAGUUCUAGGAAUUCACAAACUGCACUGAAAGUGUUUUCUGGUUUCUCACUCAGGGACAUUUGGUACUGAACAUAGACUGGUUAUGCUGCUCCCUGAUGAAAGUAAAAUGUUUCUGCUAUUACCUCAGAAUUUGCCUGUUUUAAUGAUAUGAUUGUGGCUCAGGAUUUUUUUUGCCAGUUUUUUUCUUUUUCAUAACAAACAGGAUAACAUUAAUGCCCUGGCAGUGGCAAUGAGCUUUAAUUUUGUAUUUGCUUUGAUAACAUUGUUUAAGUUGAGAUUUAAACUGAAUAUUUUAUUUAACUGCUACUGUAUUAAAAUGCUGAUGUUAAUUAAUCAGGGAUAUCAUGCGAUUAAUCGCGAUUAAAAAUUUGAAUCGUUGCCCGUCCCUAGUAUUUAUAUAAAUUCUGAUUGUUAUUUAUUCGCAUUGUUGUUUAUCCCGAUGAAUAUGUAUGUAUAUGAAUUCUGAUUGCUGUUUAUUCCAAUUGCUAUAUAUAUUCUAUUUGUUGUACCUAUCUAGACAUACUGAUCAUUCUUAAUACAUUUGAACUAUAGAACCAUCUGAAGUUGGCUCUGUUGUCUUCCUGGACUGGGAUUGGUAUAGCUACACACUCAUUAAAGGAGAGGCAUUUUCCUAGUUGCCCUCGCGGUUAUAUAUGCUUGACACAAUUGUGCACCUCGACGGUAAAUCGUAAGAAUUUUCCCCAGAAGCAAUUCGGAACACCUCAGUCAGCCCACUGUCUUCAACUAUGUUGAUGGGCCGACAGUCACCGGCAACCCAAACUGCUACAGCGUUGGUAACCUUUUCACGGACUGGUCUAGUUAUUUUCCCAGAGAAGUCGUGGAGUGUGGGUUGGCGACCAUCUAACCUGGGACUGCUUUCUGUCGGGUGCUUUGCAUUAAGGUGAUAGCUAAAUUCAGAUGCUAAAAAUGCUACAUACAACUUUAGUUUUUUUGAUUGUUCCGUCA
rnacentral:lncRNA from 1 species